UUGAGGUGCUCUAUGGAAGUCAACACA
rnacentral:piRNA from 1 species